UGGCGUAAUGUGCAGUUCACUGUGGAC
rnacentral:piRNA from 2 species